rnacentral:rRNA from 1 species
GACGAACGCUGGCGGCGUGCUUAACACAUGCAAGUCGAACGGUGAAAGUGGAGCUUGCUCCGCUGGAUCAGUGGCGAACGGGUGAGUAACACGUGGGCAACCUGCCCCUCACUUCGGGAUAACUCCGGGAAACCGGGGCUAAUACCGGAUAUGACCUCCUUGGCCAUCCUUGGCGGUGGAAAGUUUUUCGGUGGGGGAUGGGCCCGCGGCCUAUCAGGUUGUUGGUGAGGUAGUGGCUCACCAAGGCGACGACGGGUAGCCGGCCUGAGAGGGCGACCGGCCACACUGGGACUGAGACACGGCCCAGACUCCUACGGGAGGCAGCAGUGGGGAAUAUUGCGCAAUGGGCGAAAGCCUGACGCAGCAACGCCGCGUGCGGGAUGACGGCCUUCGGGUUGUAAACCGCUUUCAGGAGGGAAGAAGCCGCAAGGUGACGGUACCUGCAGAAGAAGCACCGGCUAACUACAUGCCAGCAGCCGCAGUAA